UACGUAGGGGGCAAGCGUUGUCCGGAUUUAUUGGGCGUAAAGAGCGUGUAGGCGGCUAUACAGGUCCGCUGUGAAAACUCGAGGCUCAACCUCGAGACGUCGGUGGAAACCGUAUGGCUAGAGUCCGGAAGAGGAGAGUGGAAUUCCUGGUGUAGCGGUGAAAUGCGCAGAUAUCGGGAAGAACACCCGUGGCGAAGGCGGUUCUCUGGGACGGUACUGACGCUGAGACGCGAAAGCGUGGGGAGCGAACAGG
rnacentral:rRNA from 1 species